CGUGAAACCUGCUCAACUUGAGCAGCUCAUUUUGUGCUCCAAAUGGAAAUCUGGAGGAUGGGAGCAAGUGCUUCUCUGGCCAAAGAAAGAGCAAACUCAGCUGAAGAAGAGCCAUCGCUGGGCAUGCCAAAGGGACCAGAACCAUCACCACCUUCCCCUUCGGUCACUGAUGCUCAGUCACACAGAGGUGCUGCCCUGCCCUAGGAUUUUACCAUGCACAGGAAGGCUAAUGACGUCAAACACUAAUCUUCAGCACUUGAAAAGAGAGGAAAGUGACUGAGAAGCAUUACAGGUUGGCAGCAGGAGGCGAGGAGCUUGUGAAAAGAUGACUGCCAGCCCUACUACAACGGACAUGAAAAGUCAGUGGUGUCUUCCCCACUAAGCCAGAACAACUCUCCCUGGUUUGCAGACGGGCACAAUGAAUUGAAUUCCAGAGACUGGUGGAGGGUUUCCUGUUCUACUCCAGUGACCAGAGGACAACCUGGUUCAUUGAACCUCAGGUCUUUGUUGUCAUUGGUACUGCAGAGCUCAUGGGAUUUUCUGUGAAGAAGUGGCUGGAAACCAGGCAGAGAUCUGACAAGUGGAGUCAAUCGGGAGUCUGCUGGUGUGCCCUGCUCCUACGGCUUUGUCACCCUGAAAGCUGUGAGCACAAGGACAGGAGUCCCUAGAAGCCCAUGCCAAGAGCCAGUCUAUCAGAAGGAUAAACAGAUUGGAUGGGAGCCUCUGGAGUGCACAUGCUGGCUAAUAUAUCCUUGAAGAGGAGGCAUAGUCAACUCUCUGCAAACGGUCAUCCGUACUACUGGCCAAUAAUACCAGGUGCUGAAAAAGUCCCUCUGUAUAAAUUAUCCCCUAUCAUUUAGCCAUCCUUUUGGCUGGCCAGGGAGGCAGCAGUAUGCUUGCCAGCUGUUCUACCAAGUUUUCCUGAGCGGCAGCAUCUGCAUCAUUGCUCUGAAACAGCACAGUGGCCUCAGCGAGAUGACACACUGUUCUGAGGAAGCAAGUUUUACCCAGAAAAUGCGAUAGUUCACCGAAUUCUCCGGAAGUGAGAAGAUAACCACCUUCAAAAGACGUUUUUUUUUCUUUUCUUUUUCCCCUCUCUCUUUUAAAAACAUAGCAAUGGCUGCGAACAUCGUGUUCUUGCUGCUUUUCAGGGAUGUGGUUUUGUGCUAUUAAUAAAAAAAAAUAGAAUCGCUCAAUGAUUUCUAUUAAUGCAGAAUGAGGUGUGAGAACUGCAGAAAAGAGCCAUUUUAGAGAGCUUAGAGGCUUGGUUUAUAUAUAUUUAUGUAUAUACAUAUACAGUAAUGAGAAAUGGAAGAGGAACAACUGUUUUGAGGGGGGAAGUUGGGGGUGUUUUUAAGCUGCUUCCCAGGGCCUAAUAAAGAAAAGCUGAGUGGGAGUGAGAGAAGAGGUAUUUUCCUCAAACCUUUCUGACCCUAGUGGUUGGAUUGCUGGCUUUAUUUUGUUAUCUUUUGAAUGCAGAAAAAAAUGAUGAAUUCCCAGCUCUUUUCUGCUUAUCCCUUAUGGUUCAAGCAAUCACAACACUGUGUGAAGCCACUGUCUUGGUUUCACUUUUUACCACUGGAGACCAGGAGAGUUUCAGAGGGUACCAACUGCCCAGAGAUAGGAGAAAAGGCAAGUGACUUCUGCAGCCCCAUUUACCCAACGCCACAUCACAAAUUGAGGCAGUGCAGCCUCUUCCGUGAUGCCUGUGGUGUGCAGGCAUGAGGUUUGCAAAUGUGGUCAGUGACCAGCUCCAUCACCCACAUGUGAUGCCAGAGGGAAGCCACGGAAGUUACCUUUUCCUGGGGGAAGUGGGGAUGCCUCAGGAAGUCCCUGGGGAAGCCAAUGCACAGGGAUGCAGCCAGAUUCAGCGGUGGGUUGGUAGGUAGGAGAAGAAGGAGGGAAGAAAUGCAAACAGAAACAUCGUUGCUGAAAUGUUUGCCAUCUGGCUUUGAGAAGAUGAACAUACAGCGUUGGUUUGUUGUUCUGCUUUCUUUUUUUUUCUCAACUGACAGCCAGAGAAAUUUGGUGGUUUUUAUGCUUCUGAGGGCUUUUCUUUUUUCUUUUCUUUUUUUAAUCAACACCAUUGCCACAGCCUCCUAAACUCCAGUCUCCUGCUCAUCCCCUUCUCUUGCCUAUGCAGAGCCACUGAAUGCUUAUAAUGGAAAUAUUUUUGCAUCUAUGUAGCGGAGAACACCCGUCCAAACCGGAUGUUUGAGAUCACAGGGACUGACCCAGAAUCUGCACUGGGGCAGACAUGAAAGCAUGAAAAUUUCAUUCACAAAGGUUUUCUGGGACCAGCUCUUUUCUGCCUAAGCAGAGUCACGCACGUACUGGCUCAGACGCUCCCACAGCCCUUCCAAAGCAGAGCUGACUGCUUUUAAAGUUAUGCAGGGCUACAUCCUUAAUGGACAGAGGCCACGAGCUCAACUGGGAACAAUUACCAGCUGAAUAAGAUGUUCAUCUGCAAGGGGUGCACUUCUGCCAGCUACUACCCUUGGACGGCCCACGGAGCGAGAGGCACAGUUGGUCCCACGCCUACUUGUUUUCCUUCCCUUUGCUGCCACAGUUUCAACUGAUUUUGAUUACCCUGGCGCCAAAUAAAUGAAAACAUUUCAUAGACAUAUAAUCACUCGUCACUGCAAAGAAAGGAAAAAUGCUUGUGUACUGCGUGUUUAUAAAUACACUUAAUGAAAAAGGGAGAGAUCUGCCCUUCCCAGCCUCGUGUGGCUGAAGCCAGUGUAGCUGCAUGUCCUGUCAGGAAAGUCAGCCGCUGCUACCAUCCUGAUGUGGCCACUGGUGUGGAUGUCACUGGGAGAGACACAGCCCUGCCCCCUUCCCUGAUCAUGCUCCGAUGAUCAGUGUGGGGUGAGAGCAAACCUCCAAGUCAGCAAUUAAGACAUCCAAGAAUUUCAUGUUGAGGAAAGGGAAAAGCCCCAGACAUUGCCAUGAGGACUGCAUAUGGAAGAAAAUGCAAGCAAAUCCAGCAUGGGAAAAUGAGGUUGGAUGAACAACAGCACUCUUCAGCUUUAUUUAGUGGAGAUGCACUGGGCGAGCGUUCAUCAGGCUUUCAUACUGGAUCAGACAGGAGCUCAGACUAUUUUGGCAGAGGGCAGUAACCAGGUGCAAGUCCCAGGCCACUGACUAGCUCAGCCAGAGCUAUCUCCAUACACAGUACCACACUAAAAGAGGAUGCAACAGCCAUAAAGACAGCAGUGCUCUCUGAGAACCUGUUACCAACUCCAGGUUUGUUCUAUCCAUCAUAAGCAAAAUGUUGAUGUUCUUAGAAUGAAUGAGU